rnacentral:rRNA from 1 species
AACGAACGUUGGCGGCGCGCCUAACACAUGCAAGUCGCACGAGAAAGGGAGUAAUCCCCGGUACAGUGGCGCACGGGUGAGUAACACGUGGGUAAUGUUCCCUUGAGCGGGGGAUAACCUGCCGAAAGGCGGGCUAAUACCGCAUAAGACCACGGUGACUACGGUCACAGCGGUCAAAGCUGGCCUCUUCUUGAAAGCUAGCACUCGAGGAUCAACCCGCGGCCCAUCAGCUAGNGGUAGGGUAAUGGCCUACCAAGGCUAAGACGGGUAGCUGGUCUGAGAGGAUGAUCAGCCACACUGGAACUGAGACACGGUCCAGACUCCUACGGGAGGCAGCAGUGGGGAAUCUUGCGCAAUGGACGAAAGUCUGACGCAGCGACGCCGCGGUGGGUGAUGAAGGCCUUGG